rnacentral:rRNA from 1 species
AUACGGAGGGUGCAAGCGUUGUUCGGAAUUAUUGGGCGUAAAGCGCGUGUAGGCGGUUGUUUAAGUCUGAUGUGAAAGCCCUGGGCUCAACCUGGGAAGUGCAUUGGAAACUGGGCAACUUGAGUACGGGAGAGGGUAGUGGAAUUCCGAGUGUAGGGGUGAAGUCCGUAGAUAUUCGGAGGAACGCCGGUGGCGAAGGCGGCUACCUGGACCGAUACUGACGCUGAGACGCGAAAGCGUGGGGAGC